UACGAAGGGGGGCUAGCGUUGCUCGGAAUCACUGGGCGUAAAGCGCACGUAGGCGGCUUUCUAAGUCAGGGGUGAAAUCCUGGAGCUCAACUCCAGAACUGCCUUUGAUACUGGAGAGCUUGAGUCCGGGAGAGGUGAGUGGAACUGGCGAGUGUAGAGGUGAAAUUCGUAGAUAUUCGCAAGAACACCAGUGGCGAAGGCGGCUCACUGGCCCGGUACUGACGCUGAGGUGCGAAAGCGUGGGGAGCAAACAGGGAUUAAGAA
rnacentral:rRNA from 1 species